GUUCAUGAUGUGGCUGUGGGAGCAGUCCCAGCACUUGCCGUAACCGGCAUAUUGGUAAAUUAAAUAGUUUCUUUUCCGAAAACAAGAGUUGCACUUCGAAUUCGCCAGUUGCAAAAUGUGUCCUCUUAGUAAAAAGACGGCAUAAAGUUUGCUAAAAAAUUACCUUAUGUUGCAGAUAUUUCCUGUCAAUAUUAAAGGGCAGGCAUGAAGCAUAGCAACAUUAGUGAACUGGUUUGGUGCAUGGUUAUGUUCCUAUACUUGAAAUUUAAAUAGAAAGAUUGAGAAAACUGUUAGAAAUUUAAGAUUCAGGCUGAAUUACUUACUGAUUUAUUAUGUGCAGGUUUUCAGGAACUUUCGAGUAUUUAGACCAUUCAAAUCUGUUAUAAAAUUUGCUUAUAAUUAUUGAAAUGUGAAUUCUUUCAAUCAAUUAGAUUAAUUUAGCUUAAAGGAAUUGACUUUAGGUUGUUGUAUUCCUUGAUUCAUCAAUGUGUGAAUGCUGUCAAAGUGUCAUUGUGAAAGAUUCCACAAAUUACUAAUGGUUUAAAGACAGUUAGUAUUAUGAUUCUCUAAGGCAUUUACCAUCAUGUGCUCUACAAAGUUAACUAUUGUACCCAACAACAAACCCUUAAAUGGUCUUACUGGAAGUUUGAAGCAUUACCUUCUGGAAAUAAUUUGA
rnacentral:lncRNA from 1 species